UACGUAGGAGACGAGCGUUGUCCGGAAUUACUGGGCGUAAAGCGUGUGUAGGCGGAUUGGUAAGUACCUUGUGAAAUCCCACGGCUCAACCGUGGAACUGCUUGGUAUACUGCUUAUCUUGAGCCACUUAGGGGCUGUCGGAACAAACGGUGGAGCGGUGAAAUGCGUAGAUAUCGGGAGGAACACCUGAGGCGAAGGCGGGUUACUGGGCUGAUACUGACGCUGAUGCGCGAAAGCCAGGGGAGGCAAACGGG
rnacentral:rRNA from 1 species